UAUGGAGAAUGCUCUAUUGCCCCAACUCUGGUGCUUAGUUCUGAGUGUUAUACACAGGAAUUUGGCAUCAGAGGAAUGGAGACUUUGGAAAGAGAGUAAUAUUGGAGCAAGUCGGUGAGGUAGGAGGGGGUCUGGUUAUGAAGAGCUUUGUGAGUGAAGAGAAGGACUUUUAAUUGAAUCCAUUGUGGGGCAGGAAGCCAGUGAAACUUCUGGAGGGCAGGAGUGACAUGGUCCCGAGAACGAGUUCUGGAUGUACUGGAAUUUAUUUAGAUUUUGGAUGAUGUGUAAUAGAGAAUGCUGUUGCAGUAGUCGAUUCUGGAUGUGAUGACAGCAUGGAUCAAAGUUUCAGCAGCAAAGAAGAUAUAGCCUCUUAGGAGACUAUUUUAACUUCUUUGAAUACGGGCCCAAUCUAAUGGUCCCAUUUGGAUUGGCUGGAUGACAAGCAGCUUUGCUACAUCAAAGACAGGGGUUCAAUAUAUGCAAAUGUACAGGGGCAGAUCUAGAGGCUCACAGGCAUAGAGUGUUGUGGUGAACUGGGAUGUUUGGAUGCUGUCUCCCCCCACUUUCAUGCAUUCACCCAGGUUUGUUGAUGGUGUGGUGGCUCAUGUCUGUGUUACCUUCUGGCUCUCCCUUUAGUUAUGCUGUCAUAGUCUUGCCAGAGUCCCUGCUUGCACUCAUGCUAAGUUCAUUGUCCUUAACCAUUACAGGAUAAUAACCAUAUUAAUAACCAUAAUAACCAUAAUAAUCUCUCCCUCUGUCUUUCUGUCGAGCUACACAUGAUACUCCUGAGAUACCAGUGAUCCUGACCCCUUCUGCUCUCCGGACCUGCCUGAUUCAUCCUGAUGCCCUACUUCUGGUUGGAGUUCUCGUCAGUUGGAAGUGACGUCCUGCUGCUGAGGACGGCCCCACGUGGUACAGGCCUGGAGGUCACUGGGAUUGCUGGGGAUGAUACCACUACAAUUCAAGUGAACAGUUAUGCUAUGAUGGCCAGGACUACAAUUGCUAUUAUAGCCUCAGCACUGCAAUUACCACAAACAAUUUUGCACUCAAGCCUCCAUCAGUGAACAGUGGAGAAAUUCAACGAAACAGACUUCAUGUAAAAACUGUAAUGAAUUUUCCUGGUUACACAGCUGUACUAUUUGAGCAUGUAGCACAUUCAUAGAAGGGACUUAUUUAUAAUUAUACUAUCUGUUGUCAGUCAGAUGAGGAUGGGUUCCCUUUUGAGUCUGGUUCCUCUCAAGGUUUCUUCCUCGUUUUGUCUCAGGGAUUUUUUCUUUGCCACCGUCGCCUCUGGCUUAAUCAUUAGGGACAGAUUCAUAAAUUUAAGAUUUAUAUUCUCAAUUUAUGCAUUUCUGUAAAGCUGCUUUCGGUCAAUGUACAUUGUUAAAAGCGCUAUACAAAUAAAACUGAACUGAAUUAAAUAGAGUUACUUAGGUAACUUUAGCUUUAAUUUUAAUUGAGAUUAUACUUAAAUAUAAUAUAAGUAUAUAUUAAAUUACAACUCUUCCUC